rnacentral:rRNA from 1 species
UACGUAGGGGGCAAGCAUUGUCCGGAUUUACUGGGCGUAAAGCGCGCGUAGGCGGAACGUUAAGUCCGGUCUGAAAGCCCCCGGCUCAACCGGGGAGGGUGGCUGGAAACUGGCGUUCUUGAGGGCGAGAGAGGAGGGUGGAAUUCCUGGUGUAGCGGUGAAAUGCGUAGAGAUCAGGAGGAACACCCGGGGCGAAGGCGGCCCUCUGGCUCGACCCUGACGCUGAGGCGCGAAAGCGUGGGGAGCGAACAGG